GGACAGCGAAAGGGAAUGGGCGAGGAAGGAAGGAAGGAAGGGACAGCUUGUGAUAUGGGCGUAAGGGAAUGGCCGAGGAAGGAAGGAAGGAAGGGACAGCUUGUGAUAUGGGCGUAAGGGAAUGGCCGAGGAAGGAAGGAAGGAAGGGACAGCUUGUGAUAUGGGCGUAAGGGAAUGGCCGAGGAAGGAAGGAAGGAAGGGACAGCUUGUGAUAUGGGCGUAAGGGAAUGGCCGAGGAAGGAAGGAAGGAAGGGACAGCUUGUGAUAUGGGCGUAAGGGAAUGGCCGAGGAAGGAAGGAAGGAAGGGACAGCUUGUGAUAUGGGCGUAAGGGAAUGGCCGAGGAAGGAAGGAAGGAAGGGACAGCUUGUGAUAUGGGCGUAAGGGAAUGGCCGAGGAAGGAAGGAAGGAAGGGACAGCUUGUGAUAUGGGCGUAAGGGAAUGGCCGAGGAAGGAAGGAAGGAAGGGACAGCUUGUGAUAUGGGCGUAAGGGAAUGGCCGAGGAAGGAAGGAAGGAAGGGACAGCUUGUGAUAUGGGUGUAAGGGAAUGACCGAGGAAGGAAGGAAGGAAGGGACAGCUUGUGAUAUGGGCGUAAGGGAAUGGCCGAGGAAGGAAGGAAGGAAGGGACAGCUUGUGAUAUGGGCGUAAGGGAAUGGCCGAGGAAGGAAGGAAGGAAGGGACAGCUUGUGAUAUGGGCGUAAGGGAAUGGCCGAGGAAGGAAGGAAGGAAGGGACAGCUUGUGAUAUGGGCGUAAGGGAAUGGCCGAGGAAGGAAGGAAGGAAGGGACAGCUUGUGAUAUGGGC